CCUACGGGAGGCAGCAGUGAGGAAUAUUGGUCAAUGGACGAGAGUCUGAACCAGCCAAGUAGCGUGAAGGAUGACUGCCCUAUGGGUUGUAAACUUCUUUUAUAUGGGAAUAAAAUGUUCCACGUGUGGGAUUUUGUAUGUACCAUAUGAAUAAGGAUCGGCUAACUCCGUUCCAGCAGCCGCGGUAAUACGGAGGAUCCGAGCGUUAUCCGGAUUUAUUGGGUUUAAAGGGAGCGUAGGUGGAUUGUUAAGUCAGUUGUGAAAGUUUGCGGCUCAACCGUAAAAUUGCAGUUGAAACUGGCAGUCUUGAGUACAGUAGAGGUGGGCGGAAUUCGUGGUGUAGCGGUGAAAUGCUUAGAGAUCACGAAGAACUCCGAUGGCGAAGGCAGUACACUGGACUGCAACUGACACUGAGGCUCGAAAGUGUGGGUAGCAAACAGGAUUAGAUACCCGGGUAGUC
rnacentral:rRNA from 1 species